rnacentral:rRNA from 1 species
AACGAACGCUGGCGGCGCGCCUAAUACAUGCAAGUCGAACGAGAAGCUGUAGCAAUACAGUUGUACGGUGGCGAACGGGUGAGGAAUACAUGGGUGACCUACCCUCGAGUGGGGAAUAACCAGCCGAAAGGUUGGCUAAUACCGCGUACGCUUCCCAGUCUACGGGUUGGGAAGGAAAGCGAUGCCGUGGGUAUCGCGCUCAAGGUUGGGCUCAUGUCCUAUCAGCUUGUUGGGGGGUAACGGCUCACCAAGGCAACGACGGGUAGCUGGUCUGAGAGGACGAUCAGCCACACUGGCACUGCGACACGGGCCAGACUCCCACGGGAGGCAGCAGUAAGGAAUAUUGCGCAAUGGGCGAAAGCCUGACGCAGCGACGCCGCGUGGGGGAGUGAAGGUCUUCGGAUUGUAAACCCCUUUCGGGUAGGGAAGAUGGAACGAGCAAUCGUUCGGCGGUACCUCCAGAAGCAGCCACGGCUAACUUCGUGCC